rnacentral:rRNA from 1 species
CAGCAGCCGCGGUAACACGAAGGGUGCAAGCGUUACUCGGAAUUACUGGGCGUAAAGCGUGCGUAGGUGGUGGUUUAAGUCCGUUGUGAAAGCCCUGGGCUCAACCUGGGAAUUGCAGUGGAUACUGGGUCACUAGAGUGUGGUAGAGGAUAGUGGAAUUUCCGGUGUAGCAGUGAAAUGCGUAGAGAUCGGAAGGAACAUCUGUGGCGAAGGCGACUAUCUGGGCCAACACUGACACUGAGGCACGAAAGCGUGGGGAGCAAACAGGAUUAGAUACCCCGGUAGUCCCUGUCUCUUAUAC